GACGAACGCUGGCGGCGUGCUUAACACAUGCAAGUCGAGCGGUAAGGCCCUUUCGGGGGUACACGAGCGGCGAACGGGUGAGUAACACGUGGGUGACCUGCCCUUAGCUCUGGGAUAAGCCUGGGAAACCGGGUCUAAUACCGGAUAUGACUCCGCGGCGCAUGUUGUGGGGUGGAAAGCCUUGUGCGGCUGGAGAUGGGCCCGCGGCCUAUCAGCUUGUUGGUGGGGUGAUGGCCUACCAAGGCGACGACGGGUAGCCGGCCUGAGAGGGCGACCGGCCACACUGGGACUGAGACACGGCCCAGACUCCUACGGGAGGCAGCAGUGGGGAAUCUUGCGCAAUGGGCGAAAGCCUGACGCAGCGACGCCGCGUGAGGGAUGACGGCCUCGGU
rnacentral:rRNA from 1 species